rnacentral:rRNA from 1 species
UACGGAGGGUGCGAGCGUUGUCCGGAAUCACUGGGCGUAAAGGGCGCGUAGGUGGCGUCGCAAGUCAACGGUGAAAGCUCGACGCUCAACGUCGAGUCGGCCGUCGAGACUGCGAGGCUUGAGCACUGUAGAGGCAGAUGGAAUUCCGGGUGUAGCGGUGGAAUGCGUAGAGAUCCGGAAGAACACCGGUGGCGAAGGCGGUCUGCUGGGCAGUUGCCGACACUGAGGCGCGACAGCGUGGGGAGCAAACAGG